CGCAGAUUCCCAUCUGGAUCAUCCUGGGAAGCACCUUCGGAGGUCUCCUGCUCCUGGCCCUGCUCGUCCUGGCGCUCUGGAAGCUCGGGUUUUUCAAGAGCGGGAGCCGCCGGCGAGAGGCGGAGCGGGAGCAGAAUUCCCAAGGCAUGGAGUGACACUGCCGGGGCCAGGAGCCCCUUCCCAGCUCCGGAGCCCGGGAUUCUCGGGAUCCCGAGGGAUUUGGGGGCUGAGCUUGGCUUUGCAGCGGGAUGAGCAAACACCCCUUGUGGGACAGCACCUAAAAGCCAUCAAAACCCCCUCAAACCAACGGGAAAUUCCCCAAAAUCUCCUCCUCGGAGCUUCCAAGUGGGAUUCCACGGAGGUGGCAGCAGCGGGGACGAGGGGACACCGACGUGAGGCGUCCCUGAUGCGGGGCUGGAAAACUCCUGACAAUAAUAAUAAUAAUAUCCCAAAAAAACCCCCAUGGAUUGCUCCUUCCCGUGGCGCAGCCACAGCAAAUCCCGGGCUCUGCUGGCCACGGCUCUCAAACUGCCUUCGUUAAGCGGAGUAAUUAAGAGGAGGCUUUAAUUAGUCUGAAUGCACUGAAUGAAAUUGUUGGGAUUUCAAGCACCUUAAUGCAAAUCUCCGGUGUCCAGCUGUACAUAAUUAUUCCAAAAAUAGGAAGGAAAGGAGGUGGGGGGGGGGGGGGGGCAAGAAAAUUCCUGGGAAAAAAAAAAUUAAAAAUCGUUUAGAAAAAAAUUAAUUAAUUAAUUAAAAGCAGUUUGAUGAGUUUCGCCCCGGCAGAGCAGUUUGGGGAGCUGGUGGCCAGCGAGGGCCCCCACCUGUAUCAUACCUGUACAUAGCUGGAGCCAUGGAAAUCAUGGGAAUCUAAGGGCAGGAAUGUGUCCCUGGCAUAGCAGAAUUAUUUAUGCUAAUAUUAAUUUUAUGGAGGAAAGGGAAGCAGAUGUUUCUGGAUGCGGGAUAAGGUUCGGGAAAUACUGUCCUGGUAUUUUUUAAGGAUUAAAAAUACGGUAUUUUAAAAAUUCCUGGUGUCUGUUCCCUUCCUUCCACGGGUAUGAGGCGGGGCUGCUCCCAUCCCUCUGGGAUCAGGGGAGGAGGAUGGAUCCCAGACUUUUCCCAUCCUUUAUUUCUGUGGCAUGGGCAGCUUUUCCAGGCUGUUUUGAAGGGAUGCUCUCAGGUGUGAUGAGAAGUCGGAUGAAGCCUUUGGGAGCCCCAAACUUGGUAUAAAAUGUGGGGAAAAACCUCCCAAAAUCAGAUUUCCAUCCUCAGCCAGAGUGGGAAUUCUGCAUGUCCGAGUUUCUGAUGGAUCGGGAGCUCAGGGGUCCGGCUGGGGUGCAGGGAUACCCCGGAGAGCCCAAAUCCUGGGAUUCCUGUGCCAGCUCAGCCCUGGCGGAUCGCACAGCGUCCCUCCUGCCUUCCUGCAUUCCCAGGAUUUGGAUCCCUGCAAUGGAGGGAAAGAGCUGGAGAGCAGCCAGGAAUGGGCAGGAUGCUCCGGGAAAUCCUAAAUACAUGUGUACAUAAAAAUAGAUCUUUUCUAAUGGAUGUGCAUUUACAUGUAAAAAUUAUCUUUUUUAAUAUAUAUUAUAUACAUAUUAUAUAUCUUAAAAUAUAUAAAUAUAUAUAUUUAUAUAUAUUUAAUAUAUGUGGUUAUGUAUUUUUAUAUAUUUAUAUAUAUUUAUAUAAAUAUAUAUUAUACAUAACAUAUAUAA
rnacentral:lncRNA from 1 species